rnacentral:tRNA from 1 species
GGACGAUUAGCUCAGUUGGCUAGAGCGCACGCUUCACACGCGUGAGGUCGGAGGUUCGAGCCCCCCAUCGUCCA